ensembl:lncRNA
GCCGCACUCCCGAGGUUGGGGAGCGCGUGCCCGUCUCCCCGCAGAGCGAGACGCCCGCGGCUGGAUGCAAACCAGAGGUCCCUACAACUCCGGCUGGCGAACCGCAGGUGGGAGCUCUCGGCUGCCAGGCUCCGGACAGGCCCCCAGCUCACCCCACUUCAGCUUCGUGGCCGCAAGAGCCGCCAGAGUGGGAGACAGGUCUGUAGUUCCGACAAGGUCCGCUCCAGUGUCGACGCGGUGGACACGGCUGCGGGGGCCAGGGGACAACAGCUGCUUUAAAGCCGGGAGCAACCCACAGGUGGCCUGUCAGGGAAACGGACGUCCGUGACGUCAUCCUGAAGGGACCUUUCCUGUUCUUCCACCAGCCACCUUCACAGGCCAGACGUGGCUCACUUCCGGAGAGCGUACCCCACUCCUGCACCACUGCGGUGCCACAACUUGCACUCCAAGAGCCACCUGGCCCGAUCCUCACCUGUCAGGGUGGACAGACCGAGUCUCUAAAGCUCCCCCAUAGCUUCAGAAAACUCACAACCUGGCCAGAAAAUAACAAACCCGCCGCCACUGACCGAGCACACAUUUCGGGGAUUGCCAACGGCUGGCCAGCAAAACAAAUGAGACACAAGGGUGUUUUCUUGACCUCCCAGUGUUUUAAAUUUUGAAAUGCUUGUUGACAAAAUGGAGAUUUUUAAAGGAAAUCUGAGUUUUGCAGUGUCCCUUGAGCAGGGGGCAGGUGUGCUGCAUGCCUUAGAGAAGCCCUGAAACCUACAGAAAGGGCUGGGGUCCAGGCCUGCUUUUCUUUUUUACCCAUGUCACCAGCUAUUUGUUAUUAUCCUUUUUCUUUUUUCCUUUUAUUCUUUCGAUGAAAAAGAAUGAAAGUGAAAAAAUAGUUUUUUGUCUUUAUCUCACUUGUAAGCGUCCCAGUUUUUGCCCCCCUGAUUUCCCACAUUGGUCAGCAAAAGCUGCCAUGGUUUUUCUUAGAAGCGGUUCUUAACACACUUCUGGCUGUUGUCACACAGGUCCAACUGGCCUGACAGACUUCCAUGUUGCCCACAUCCUGACAACAGAGGCAGCAGGACACUUCCUCCUACGAGGCAGGAUUUUGAUUUGUUUUGUUUCUAUUUGGGGGUUUUAAAGUAUGCGGGUAUUUGGAAACACUUAAAAACCAAGUUUUUCAUUUAUUACGUAGAUAUUUGGUCACACAGAACUUUUUUUGUUUUUAAUUCUGGAGAUGGAAUCCAAGACCUCUUUAAAUUUAAGGAAUAAUAUCUCAUUUAUAAGUAUAUGGAAAAGUAGGGCUGUAGCUCAGUGGUAGCAUGCAUGAGGCCCUGGUUUCAAAUCCAACACACACAUACACACACACACUAAAAUAAAUGGAGAAAUGGGAAGAAGAAAGAAAAUUUGAAGCACUCUCAGACUCACCUUUGUCAUGCAAACCUAGCAGUGUUUUAUAAAUUCUGAUUAGUAGAGUAAAUACAGCCAUGAAAAAUUUGAACACAAUGAAACAAUAUUCAAAUAAAACCACCUUCAAAACCAGGGACACAUAGUUGCAUCUCACACAUUCUCUCUCACUCUGUCACAAUUAUAAGGACAGUCAUUAAAUGGGUAUUUGGAUAUGUGCAACAUAUAUGCUUCCCCUUAGCAGAAGAGCUCCCAACACCCUGCAAGCAGAAACAGGCUUUUAUUUUCAUUUACAUACUUGCUGUCCUAGCCCAGUGUCUGGGAAUUUUGAUUGCAAGCAAAGGCAACUUUGUAGCUCAGUAGUAAGUAGUUCAGUCAAUUUGGAUCUAUUCUAAAUCUUGUCCAAUGUGGACUGUUUCUGGCCUAUUCAGGAAAAUUAGAGCAGGGAGAAAAAUUCUACCACAUCACACUUUUUGUGAGAAACUGUUAGGCAGUGCUGGCGAACCUACGGCAUGCACGCUGCACCUGACACACAGAGUCCUCUUUGUCAGCAUGCAAUCCAAGUCGCCCCAGCAGCAGAGCAUCAGAUAACACUUGUCUUUUCUAAACUGAAAACCUCAGUAUUCGGGUUUAACUGCAGUGUUGGUACUUUGUGAUAAAGAAGCAGGUUUGGGGAUGUAGUUUGGGGACAUGGUCUCUGCCAUCUCUGCUGUUAGGUUUCUGGGUGGAGUUCUCCAAUUCUUCGUCUUGCUGAUUUGAUCCUUAACACAGUGUACCUCUGCUGGAGCCAUUUCGUUUGUAAGUUUAAGAGCUCUAGGCUGUAGAUGAAAUGAGAGAACAAUAGUAAUCAUCUAUCCAUUAUCUUAAAAAGACACUUGAUACUUCACCAAGCAUUUCACAUGGUAUAGCUGCCUUGAUAGCAGAGCUGCCUGUUCAAUAGAAGAAGAAGCAGAACUCUCACUGUUUAAUUCACUUGAGUUACCAGGGCUUUUUAUGCUAAAAAGACCCAUUGUCUCUCUUGCAUGAAUUAUCAAAAUUACAUAGUCAAUAGUUAAGAAAGUUAAACCGACAAUUUACAAAAAUGGGAAAACAACUGGUAUAUAUUUGGAAAUGUUUUGUCCUUUAUUUAAAAUAGAAAUGUGAAUUAUUCAGAAUAGGGUACCAAUUUCUCCAUACUGAAUUUAAAAAUAAAUCCAUUUCCCAAUUCUGGAGAGGGUGUGGUGAAAUACCUUGUGGCAGUUAAAAAUUUGUUGAAUCUAUUGGAAUGCAAUUUUGUAAGGUAUAUAAAGAAUCAUAAACAUGUUCAUGCCGUUUGAGCCAAUUCUUCUUUCUGAAUAUUCUAAUAAAAUAAUCCUAAAUACAGGAAAUACUACAAAUGUGAAGGUGUACAUUGUAGUAUUGCUUAAAAAAUUUUAAAGGGAAAACAAUGUAAAUAUUCAUGUAUGAGGGGCUGGAACAUCAACCACUGAAUGGAUGGAAUGUUCUAUCAACUUUAAUGCCUAUAUAUAUGCUGAAACAUGAGCAGAGAAAAUACCGUGAUAUACUAUCAAGGAAGGAAAUAAGCAGAAUGUAAAUUUGCCUCUACAGUUAUGGUUAAAGUAAUGGCUUAAAAAGCAUGCAUAGCUCUAGGGAUACAGCUCAGUGGUAGAACAUGUGCUUAACAUAAGCAAGGCCCUGGGUUCCAUACUAGCACGGUAAAAGGGGGGGCAUGCAUAUAAAAAGUAGAACAGAGGUAUAUCAAAAUGUGAUGAAGUUUUUAUAGGUGAAUUUCAAUUUUUUUAUCAUGUACCUCAAAUUUUCUGAAAUAUAAUAUAGUUUUUGUAAUUAAAAUGGAGUAUGAUAGAAAUAUAAGAGUGGGUGGUAUUUAUUAGGCAUCUAUUAUUUAUCUAGCACUGUUCAGAUGGGCAAAAUUAGGACAAGUGUGGAGACUGGCCCUCAGACCCACACAGGCUGUUUCAGAUCUUGCCUAGGGUAUUUGGUGACCGUGAGAUGGUUUGGCUGUAUCAAUAAAGAGCUGAUGAGAA